rnacentral:rRNA from 1 species
CCUACGGGAGGCUGCAGUGGGGAAUUUUGGGCAAUGGGGGGAACCCUGACCCAGCGACGCCGCGUGAGGGAUGACGGCCUUCGGGUUGUAAACCUCUUUUGUACGGGAAGAUAAUGACGGUACUGUACGAAUAAGUCCCGGCUAACUACGUGCCAGCAGCCGCGGUAACACGUAGGGGACGAGCGUUGUCCGGAAUUACUGGGCGUAAAGGGCACGCAGGCUGCGUUACAAGUCAGCUGUUAAAUGCAGGGGCUCACCCCUUGUCUGCUGUUGAAACUGUAAUGCUUGAGUACUGUAGAGGCAAGCGGAAUUCCCAGUGUAGCGGUGAAAUGCGUAGAUAUUGGGAGGAACACCGGUGGCGUAGGCGGCUUGCUGGACAGUUACUGACGCUGAGGUGCGAAAGCCAGGGGAGCAAACGGGCUUAGAUACCCCUGUAGUC